CAGAGCCGUUGGGGCGGGAAGCGGGCGGCGGUUGCGCGGGCAGCCGCUGCCACGGUGGGAAAAGUGAGGAUGCCACUCUGGGACGUCCCUCUGGGCCGCUCGGAAGCCCGCGAGCCCGGGGAACGGCGGAUCUCACCCCACGCCCGACUCCCGGUGGGUUGAGGGACUCUCUGCCCUCGUCCCGCCCUUGUCACACUUCGUUCUCUGGGGGGCUUGGGCGGUGCUCUUCGCUGCCACCUCUGUCCCUGCCCGCCUGUCGUCGUGCCUGCUGGGCGGAUUUUCGGGCUCUGGCACCCAGUCAGCCUGCGAGUGCGGAGUCGCCCCGGCUUGCCACCAGGGAAGUCAGAUGAUGCUGUCUUCUGUUGGUUACUUCAUAGCACCUCCAUUUUCAAAGAACAUCUUCCUGAGAAUAAACUUGGAAAAUAUUGUGACCACAAAACAUCAUAUUUACAGAGAGUCCAAAAGGAUACUGGAUACAGAAUAAGAAAAUUUGAGACAUUAAAAUUCAGAAGUCGAGUUCCAGCCUGGAAAACAAGAUGAGGGAACAUUCCAGCCUGCACCAAUGUUCACAGUUCUGAUUGAAUUACAAAAUUUUCCUUCUUUUGAACUCAGAAGGCAUUUGGAAACUUUGGGGGAAAUUUCACAACAUCAUUUAAGUCUUGCUUAUGGUUAUCAGGGAAGAUACAUUAGAACUUACAGAAGUAUAUCAGCUUCCAGUAUCAGAAGCUUUGCCAUAAACCCCUAAGAUUUCCUGUCCAGGCUUCAUUGUCAGUGUGGUUUGUGGUCACAUUUUGACCUUCACAGCUAGCCAUAUUUUCCUAGAUGGUCUUAAACUAUUUGCUGAGUUUUGGGUUUUUUCUUUUGUCUUAUUGAAUUUUGUUUGUUUUGCUUAUUUUGCAGAUAGUUUUCAGACUUUUCCAUUAGGUAAAUUUUACGUUACCCUAAGAAAUGCUUUCAAGUUGUGCAUUGCCCAGAAACUGCUUCUCACUAUUCUAGUUUUGAUGGAAUUUUAGCCUUAUUUUUAAUUUGUGUCUUGAUCUUUGGACAUGAACCCCACCAUUAUUAGUUUCUACUGGAGAUUUUUAUGUGUGUGGCAUGUGUACUUGAUACAUGUGUAUGCCUGCACAUGUGUGCACAUGGGUGUAGAGGAGAGAGGUUGACUUUGGGUGUUUUCCUCUAUCAUUCUUCCACCUUAGGCUUUGGCCCAAGGUCUCUCACUAAACCUGUAAUUCAUCAGUUCAGAUAGGCUGACUAGCCAACGAGUUUCCCAGAUCUGCCUGGCUCUGCCCUCUUGGGACUGGGGUGAUCCACCAUAUUAGAUGAGCACUUUACUAGCUGAGUCAUCUACUACACCCUGUGGAAACAUGUAUCCAGAGGAUUCUUAUGUGGCUCUUUCUUCUUCUUCAUCUACUUCUUCUAAGUAUCCAUUCCUGCCAUUUGUUACAUCACAGGCUUUUGUAUCUGUAUUUCUUGACUCCUUCAUGGUUAUUUCAGUCCUGCUGUCCCUUUUUGUCAUCCUAGCAGAGACUCUUAAGCCACCGUGUGUGGGAAGCAGCUCCUCCAUGAUCUCUCUGGGCCUCUCCUCCUGAGAAAGUACUUUAUUAAGGCAGACCACAGCUCCCGCCACUUAGUUGGUUUCAGUGCUACAAGUGCUACUUAUCAUUCUGCUCCACAGUCAGUGGCAGCUUCUAUUCCCCUUAGGUUGUUUCUUCCAUAAGCCAAAGGGCUUAGCUUGUAUGACCAAUAUCCUCAUUCCUGGCUUUAAAAAAAAAAUGUAUAUUGGUACUCAUUUACAUCUCACUCUGGAAUUUCUACACGUUACAGUUUGGAAUCAAAAAGUUCCCAGAUUAAUAACCUAUAAGUUUUUCUCUGCCUAGUAUCAUUUUGGUUUCCUAUUGCUCUAGCUCAGUUACCACUGCCAAGAUGGGAAAUCCUGGCCUGAUCAUACCUGGGUCCAUAAUUCAAAAUGUCCAAACAGUAGCUCUAACUUAGUCUAGUAGGACUCUUAUUGGGUCUCCUGGCAGAAAUGCAUCCCAUUUGGAAGCCAGGACUUUUAUACCUUCAGUGUACAGAGUUGUGGGGACUGGAAAGUGUCCCUAACAAGUCAGUAGGACUGGUGUUCAGUGGGGUCAUUUCUGCUUUCUCUGUUUUGUUCUUGGAACCAUGUGUUUGUUCUUAGUAGGGACAAUAAUCCAAGACGGUGUACGUACCGUUUCCUGAAGGAUGGCGCUUAAUCCUUAUGAAAUCCUUCUUCUGAACUGGCACUUCAGUUCUACCAUUUUUACUCUGAAAGCAAGCGUUAGGGUUAAACAGCAAGGUCAGAAACACAGAGGAAGGUAAAUAAGAAGGCUUGCACCUGGCUGUGAAUAGCCAACCUGAACUGGUAUAAGAAGAGGCAGAACUCCACAAUGUUUCAGCAGGGCCCAGGAGUCCUGCCCUCCCCUGCAGGAACGUGUGCAAGGUAUUGUUGCCCUUUCCCUUAGUAAACGUAAAAUUUACAGGUAGUUAAACCUUCAUGGAUAACCAUGCAUCUAAUUGUAACAGACUGAAUUGUGGGUAAUGGCUUCUGAGAAAGCUUCCACUUUUUUAGGAGGGCAACUCUCCAGACUGCCCAAGGGAUAGACCAAGGAGAACUGGUGAUGAAAUCCAGAUGAGGGGCAUCCUUGGCCAUUGGCACUGGGAGCACAGCACCCUCCUGUCUUGCCUUUGUCUUCCCCCUGCUACAGUAAACCUAGAUAACUCGUUUGCUUUACCUGUUCCCUGACGGGAAUCUCUUUACUUGAGAUUGGAGGACAUGUGGGUGGGGACAUCUCUAACACCUGGUGAUCUGUCAGCCUGAAUGACCCUGUUGAUUUCCUGGUCAUGAGUUCACAUAUUAUCUUUGUACUGUGAAGUAGGUCCCGUUUGCAUGCUGUUGAAUUGGAUCCCAUGCCUAUGGAUCAAGCAUUCUUUAAGGCCCUAAGUAAUGAUAAUAUCAGCUAAGCCCCUGAAAAGCAGAACAACAAAUCCAUACCCAGUAUUUAUCCCCAUUGGGAUAGACCACUAGCCACUCCAAAAUGGAAAGAGUCCAUGUUAUUGACCAGGUAUCUGAUUUGUCUCGAGUAAUACUGCAGUAUUGGGAACACAGUGUAGGUCUCUGCUCCUAGCAGGUUCUUUAGAAACAGAUGUAGGUAAGGGUUGGCUUUUGUAGUUGGGAAUUUAUGUUAUGACUUUCAUAUAGUCUCCUGUGCAAACAUGGCUGCUCAUGUGUUGUCUUAGUGCCAGGUCUAGAGUGGGUCAUGACAAACACUUAACACCAACAGAUAGAAUCCUUUGUCAAUUUGAAUUUUUCUGUUUCUCUUUCAUAAUGAAUGUUCUAGUCAGAAUGAACAUGUCAUUAGCCACUAGGCAAGACAGGCACCUUUAGGGACAGAAUCCUAUGUUGAUGAACCUUCAGGGUAUCCUUUCUUUAUCUGCACAUAAGGCUUUAUGGCAUAAGCAGCAGAGCAUUCUGUGAGGCAUGUCUACUCAUUAGUUUUUGCUCUGCAACCUCCAGAAUAUGUCUACUAUAUCCUCUUUUAAAACUAUGACCUUAAACUGAAUUUGCACAGGGAUGUACUCUUUUGAUUUUUUUAAAGAUGUGUUUAUUUAUUUAUUUAUUUAUUUAUUUAUUAUAUGUAAGUAGCUGUCUUCAGACACUCCAGAAGAGGGCAUCAAAUCUCCUUACAAAUGGUUGUGAGCCACUAUGUAGUUGCUGGGAUUUGAACUCAGGACCUUCAGAAUAGCAGUCAGUGCUCUUUACCACUGAGCCACCUCUCCAGCCCCAGGGAUGCACUCCUUAACUAAGCAUACUCAUUGCUCAGUCUUGGGCCAGCCCUUAUGUGAAUGUAUAGGCUCUCAGAAUAAAAUUCCCAUGCUUGCUUUGUCGGAAGAGCUUUGGAAAGGACACCUGAAUUCUCUCUUAUCUAUUGCAAGUAAACUUCCUCUACUCUUUUUAUAUAUAUUGACUGUGAUUAUUUUUGGCUUGCAUUCAAUGAUAUGAAUGAAAUGAAUGAUUAUAUUUGAUUACAAUAUAAUAAAAAAAGGAUCCUCACCCCUUGUGUCUGUAUAUCUCCAGUUCUAAACUCUCUUCCCUACUCCAUUGUCUCUGACCUGCCGGUCUUCCCUGCUGGGACCCUGUCCCUCGGCUAGGCCGUGGCAUUGCAUAGGAGUCUUCACAACAAAUUCACUCUUAUUCCACAUAGGGUGAAUGAAAAGUUAUGGGUGAAAGCUUUGCAAUUAGCAAGAUUUUUCCCUUCCACUGUCUUUAGGGUCACCUACGUGUAGGUAUACCUUUUGUCUACCAAGCUGAAUUUUUUAUAUAACAAGCCAACAUCCUCUCUUAGUUAGGGCAGGAAGAUGUUCUGGUUCAAGCUCGGUGCAUGGUUAUAGAGAUCUGGGAUACAAGUUCAUGCAGUUGAUUCAUUCCUCCUACUACAAUACAUCGUUUACAAUCCACCAGACCUGCUGCUGGGCCCAUCUUCCUAAGGAUUUAGCUCAUAUUGAAUUUUUCAAAUACAUAGUAACUUGAUACCCCAUGGUCAAGUUUUUUGUGUUUGUCUGGUACCAUAUCUAGAAUGGUUUCCUGAAGGGAGUUAAAUCCUGUUAGAGAUAUCACCUUUCUAUGUUACCUAAGACAUCUAUAUUGUGAUCUCCGUGUAUAUGACAGUCCACACUGUUACAAAGCCAUUUGUUGCUCCUGGAUGUACUCUUAAUAAAGGGCAAUAUUCCUGUGUAA